CAUGUAGGCGGCCUUUUAAGUCGAUUGUGAAAUCCCUCAGCUUAACUGAGGAACUGCGAUCGAAACUGAGAGGCUUGAGGACAGAAGAGGAGAACGGAAUUCCCGGUGUAAGGGUGAAAUCUGUAGAGAUCGGGAGGAACACCAGUGGCGAAGGCGGUUCUCUGGUCUGUUUCUGACGCUGAAAUGCGAAAGCUAGGGGAGCAAACAGAAUUAGAUACCCUGGUAGUCC
rnacentral:rRNA from 1 species